GCGAAAGGGAUUAGAUACCCCUGUAGUCCUAGCUGUAAACGAUGGACACUAGGUGUUGGCCGUAUCGACCCGGUCAGUACCGAAGCUAACGCGUUAAGUGUCCCGCCUGGGGAGUACGCACGCAAGUGUGAAACUCAAAGGAAUUGACGGGGGCCCGCACAAGCGGUGGAGUAUGUGGUUUAAUUCGAUGCAACGCGAAGAACCUUACCAGGGCUUGACAUCCCGCGAAUCUUUUGGAAACGAGAGAGUGCCUUCGGGAGCGCGGAGACAGGUGGUGCAUGGCUGUCGUCAGCUCGUGUCGUGAGAUGUUGGGUUAAGUCCCGCAACGAGCGCAACCCUCGUUCUUAGUUGCCAUCAUUAAGUUGGGCACUCUGAGGAGACUGCCGGUGACAAACCGGAGGAAGGUGGGGAUGACGUCAAGUCAUCAUGCCCCUUACGUCCUGGGCUACACACGUACUACAAUGCUUCGGACAGAGGGCAGCGACCUCGCGAGAGCAAGCUAAUCCCAGAAACCGAGGCUCAGUUCAGAUUGCAGGCUGCAACUCGCCUGCAUGAAGGCGGAAUCGCUAGUAAUCGCAGGUCAGCAUACUGCGGUGAAUACGUUCCCGGGCCUUGUACACACCGCCCGUCACACCAUGGGAGUUGGCCACGCCCGAAGUCGUUACUCUAACCGUUCGCGGAGGAGGG
rnacentral:rRNA from 1 species